UACGUAGGGUGCGAGCGUUGUCCGGAAUUACUGGGCGUAAAGAGCUCGUAGGUGGUUUGUCGCGUUGUCCGUGAAAACUCACAGCUUAACUGUGGGCGUGCGGGCGAUACGGGCAGACUGGAGUACUGCAGGGGAGACUGGAAUUCCGUGGUGUAGCGGUGGAAUGCGCAGAUAUCAGGAGGAACACCGGUGGCGAAGGCGG
rnacentral:rRNA from 1 species